CCUACGGGGGGCAGCAGUGGGGGAUAUUGCACAAUGGGGGAAACCCUGAUGCAGCGACGCCGCGUGGGUGAAGAAGCGCCUCGGCGCGUAAAGCCCUGUCAUCAGGGAAGAAAAUGACGGUACCUGAAGAAGAAGCCCCGGCUAACUACGUGCCAGCAGCCGCGGUAAUACGUAGGGGGCAAGCGUUAUCCGGAGUUACUGGUUGUAAAGGGGGCGCUGACGGCGAUGCAAGCCAGGAGUGAAAGCACGGGGCGCAACCCCGGGACUGCUCGUGGAACUGCGUGGCUAGAGUGCAGGAGGGGCAGGCGGAAUUCCUGGUGUAGCGGUGAAAUGCGUAGAUAUCAGGAGGAACACCGGUGGAGAAGGCGGCCUGCUGGACUGCAACUGACGUUGAGGCCCGAAAGCGUGGGGAGCAAACAGGAUUAGAUACCCGGGUAGUC
rnacentral:rRNA from 1 species